AGAGAGAGAGAGAGAGGAGUAUUGAAGGGGUUUAAGGACUGCUUGUUGAAAGAGAGAGAGAGAGUAGUAUUAAGGGGGUUGAAGGACUGCUUGUUGGAAGAGAGAGAGAGAGGGGAGUAUUGAGGGGGUUGAAGGACUGCUUGUUGUAAGAGAGAGAGAGAGAGAGAGAGAGAGGGGAGUAUUGAGGGGGUUGAAGGACUGCUUGUUGGAAGAGAGAGAGAGGAGUAUUGAAGGGGUUGAAGGACUGUUUGUUGGAAGAGAGAGAGAGAGAGAGAGAGGAGUGUUGAGGGGGUUGAAGGACUGUUUGUUGGGAGAGAUAGAGAGAGAGAGAGAGAGAGAGAGGAAGAGAGAGAGGAGUAUUGAGGGGGUUGAAGGACUGUUUGUUGGAAGAGAGAGAGAGAGAGAGAGAGAGAGAGGAGUGUUGAGGGGGUUGAAGGACUGUUUGUUGGGAGAGAGAGAGAGAGAGAGAGGAGUAUUGAGGGGGUUGAAGGACUGUUUGUUGGGAGAGAGAGAGAGAGAGAGAGAGGAGUAUUGAGGGGGUUGAAGGACUGCUUGUUGGAAGAGAGAGAGAAAGGAGUAUUGAGGGGGUUGAAGGACUGCUUGUUGAGAGAGAGAGAGAGAGAGAGAGAGAGGAGUAUUGAGGGGGUUGAAGGACUGCUUGUUUGCAGAGAGAGAGAGAGAGAGAGAGAGAGAGAAAGGAGUAUUGAGGGGGUUGAAGGACUGUUUGUUGGAAGAGAGAGAGAGAGAGAGAGAGAGAGAGAGAGGGAUUAUUGAGGGGGUUGAAGGACUGUUUGUUGGGAGAGAGAGAGAGAGAGAGAGAGAGGAGGGGAGUAUUGAGGGGGUUGAAGGACUG
rnacentral:lncRNA from 1 species